CCUACGGGUGGCAGCAGUGAGGAAUAUUGGUCAAUGGGCGAGAGCCUGAACCAGCCAAGUCGCGUGAGGGACGACGGUCCUAUGGAUUGUAAACCUCUUUUGUCGGGGAGCAAAGGCGUCCACGGGUGGGCGGAUGAGUGUCCCCGAAGAAAAAGCAUCGGCUAACUCCGUGCAAGCAGCCGCGGUAAUACGGAGGAUGCGGGCGUUAUCCGGAUUUAUUGGGUUAAAAGGGUGCGUAGGCGGACAGUGAAGUCAGCGGUAAAAAUGCGGUGCUCAACGCCGUACAGCCGUUGAAACUGGGAGUCUUGAGUGGGCGAGAAGUAUGCGGAAUGCGUGGUGUAGCGGUGAAAUGCAUAGAUAUCACGCAGAACUCCGAUUGCGGAGGCAGCAUACCGGCGCCCUACUGACGCUGAGGCACGAAAGCGUGGGUAUCGAACAGGAUUAGAUACCCUUGUAGUC
rnacentral:rRNA from 1 species